AGGAGGUAUUGAAUUAGGUUGCCGGGACUGAGCCACGCAUCUGAUACAGUACAUGAGAUGGUGGCACAUAUAACCCAAUGAAAAUGGGCACCUGACAGUCACAAUGAAGACAGGCAUGGACAAUUCCUACACAAUCUCUCCCUUCCAUGGAAGGAGAAAACCUGAACGGUGAUUAUAAUGAUUAUGUUUUGAAGAUUAAAAGACAGAAAGUAAUCAAAAGACGCAACAAAUAGCUGUCACUUUAUAUGGAAAUUCUUCUCUCAAGUUGCCACAGCAGUUAACUUUAGAGCUUCUGAUGUGUCGCUGAUAAUAAGAAGGUCAGAGUUUGUUUCGUCUCACUCUCCCACCAUGCUAAAUCUUGUUCCUUUGCCAGUGGAUUAACGUUUCUU